UAUUGAUCCAUUUGGAGCUGCAAAGGGUCAGAGAUGAGAAUCAAGUUUCCUUUUAUAUGGAGACGAACAGUGUUUGCUAAAAGUGCUAUCUUUCCUCUAGUGUUUAUUAUUGGCUUCUUUCAAGUUCAGGUGGCUACGGAGGUGUGGAUUUAAAUGUGGGUCCUCAGGUCUAUCCACUGAUCAGUGAGCCACUUGCUAUGCCAGUACCAUGCUGUUUUCAUUGCUAGAACUCUGUAGUGGAAUAACAUCUGGAUGGUGAUACUGCCUCUGCUUUUUUGUUGGUCAGGAUUUUGGCUAUCCUGUUGGUUUUUGUUUUUGUUUUCCCCUAUGAAAUUUAAUGUUUUUUCAACUUCUGUGAAGAAUUGGGUUCAAAUUUUGAUGGGGCUGUGUUGAAUUUUUAAAAUUGUGGUAGACUAGACAUUUUCACAAUAUUAAACCUGCCAAUCCAUAAAAAUAGGAGGGCCUUCUUCCAUUUUUAUGUCUUCAUUGUCUUUGUAUUCAUUUUUAUAAGUCUUUCAUGUCUUUGGUUAGAUUUCUUCUAAAACACACACAACAUACACACACUCUUAGAAUAUACACACACAGAGGUAAUUGUAAAUGACAUUAUUUUCUUGAAUUCUUUCUCAUUAGGUUUGUCAUUUGUAUAUACAAAGGCCAUGGAAUUUUUGUGUUAAUUUUAUACCCUGCUACUUUGCUGAAUGCAGUUGUUAGCUGUAGGAAUUUUCUGUUACAGUCUUUAUGAUCUUUUUCAUAUAGAAUCGUACUAUCUGCAAAUAAAGAUAUUUGUGCUUCCUUCUUUCCCACUUCUAUCCUGUUGUCUCCUUCACUUGUCUUACUCUUCCAGGCCAGUAUUGUGUUAAACAGGAGUGGGGAGAGUGGACAUCGUUGUCUUAGUCCUGAUUUUUAUUGGAAAUGCUUUGAGUUUUUCUCCAUUUAGGAUGAUGUUGGCUGUAUGCUCCUUGUACAUUGCCUUUAUUAUGUCGAGACAUCCCCUGUAUCCCUAUUCUCUCUAGGACUCUUAUCAUAAAAGGAUGUUGGAUUUUGUCAAAGGCCUUUUUCUACAACUAAUGAGAUGAUCAUGUGGUUUUAAUCUUAUUUAUGUGGUGGAUUAUUUUUGUUGAUUUCUAUGUGUUGAAUCAUCUAUUAUCUAUGUAGCUCAUCUACCAUCUAUGUAUCUCAGAGAUGAAGCUGACUUGAUUGUGAUAGAUAAUCUCUUUAAUGUGUUCUUAAAUUCUGCUUUCAAGUAUUUUGAGGAUUUUUGUGUCUAUGGUCAUUAAAAAUAAUUGACCUGCAAUUUUCUUUUGUUUAUUUGGUUAUGGUUAUCAGAGUAAUACUGGCUUUGUAAAAGGAAUUUGUAAGUCUUCCUUCCUUUUCUAUUUUGUGGAAUAGCUUGAGAGGUAUUUAGUGUUAGUUCUACAUUGAAGAUCUAGUAGAAUUCUGCACUGAAUCCACAAGACCUCUGCCACUUGCCUAAGAAACACAUGUCUGGUCUGCCUUUAUGUUCCCCAUCCUGUACACCCUCUUCAGGUAAGGAGUCCUAACUAAAGCUGGUAACCCCUUUACUUCUGCCCAAGCAUGCUUGCCCCAUCCCUAGCAAGAAAGCUACACUCCCCACUUCAGUUUGAAUGAGAAUGAUUCCCGUGGGUUAAGUGGAUCUGCUUGGGAAGGAUAAGGAGGUGUGGCUCUGAUGGAAGAGGUUUGUCAUUGGGGCUUGUCUUUGAGGUCUCAAAGGACCCAUGCCAUUCCUAGUCUUUUCUUCCUUGUUUCCUUGUAUUUGUGGAUCAAGAUGUAAGCUCUCAGCUCUCCACCCUAAGCCCUGAAUUAAAUGUUUUAUUUUAUAAGUUGCCUUGAUUAUGGUGCUUUAUAUCGUAGAAUUGGCAGAGUAACAAAGAUACCACCCAUUCCUGCUGUGCAGAUAACCACACUUCCUCUGCCAACUUCACUGAUCCUCUGCAAGGAUUCCCCCUCCCCUGCUGCCCUUUUUCAGGAAGGGUGACUAAUCCCAUACCAGUAAAUACUCCCACUCCUGCAGUCUGCCUAAGGUGAUGUGUUGUACCCUCCUUCUAGUGCCCCUUUUCAAAAACCAAAAAACCCCUUAGGGAUUCCAGACUCAUAUAGCAUCAAUCCUGCCAUCAGAGCCACACCUCCUUAUCCUUCCCAAGAAUUAUAAUAAAAUAAAAGCUCUAGGAUUGACCUGGAUUAGUAAGGCCUGGAUCAUAUUGAUAAAUGCUCUUUAACUUUACUGUGUGGCCAUCUUCAUAGCUAUAUGAAUGACAUAUGUUUUAAAACGAACUAGCUUGUACUAGAAUAACAACUUCCAAAUCCCAGAAACUACAUAACUAACUGAAAGUUUAUUUUGUACUUAUGUAGUUUGCUUUAAGUGCAUGAGACUGUAGGGUAAUUCAGGAAUCCAGACUGUUUCCAUAUUGGUCUCAUCCCAAGGCUUGUACAGUUGCUUUAGCAGGCAUCAAGAGAACAAGCUUCAGAUGGUAAAUAGAUCAGCGCUCAUGGCCCAUUUUAUAGAAUUGGCCAUGUCAUCCUGAUGAGCU
rnacentral:lncRNA from 1 species